rnacentral:snRNA from 1 species
UUUCUUUCAUUGCCGAACAUUUAAUACAAUUGAAAGAAUACAGAGAAGACCAGAAUGUCUCCUGUGCAACAGUGAUACGUAAAUUCGUGAGGGCGUUCCAAGCAUUU